UACGUAGGGCGCAAGCGUUGUCCGGAAUUAUUGGGCGUAAAGAGCUCGUAGGUGGCGUGUCGCGUCUGCCGUGAAAGCCCAUGGCUUAACUGUGGGUCUGCGGUGGAUACGGGCAGGCUAGAGGCUGGUAGGGGCAAGCGGAAUUCCUGGUGUAGCGGUGAAAUGCGCAGAUAUCAGGAGGAACACCGGUGGCGAAGGCGGUUCUCUGGGCAUGUCCUGACGCUGAGGAGCGAAAGUGUGGGGAGCGAACAGG
rnacentral:rRNA from 1 species